UACGUAGGGGGCUAGCGUUGUCCGGAAUCAUUGGGCGUAAAGCGCGUGUAGGCGGCCCGGUAAGUCCGCUGUGAAAGUCGGGGGCUCAACCCUCGGAUGCCGGUGGAUACUGUCGGGCUGGAGUGCGGAAGAGGCGAGUGGAAUUCCUGGUGUAGCGGUGAAAUGCGCAGAUAUCAGGAGGAACACCAAUUGCGAAGGCAGCUCGCUGGGACGUUACUGACGCUGAGGCGCGAAAGCGUGGGGAGCGAACAGG
rnacentral:rRNA from 1 species